UAUUAUAAUUAUCCUUAUAACAUAUGUGGGCAAAAAUAUGUAGGUAUUACAAUGAGAACUUCAAACUUGAACAACCGGAAGUAUAUAGUCACAUAUGCUUAUUAAAUACUUACAUAAGUGCGUUAGUACUUAUAAAUGUAUGUAUAUCAUGUGUGGGCAUUUAAAAAAAAUAUUUUAUUACUUACAUUGUUGCCUGCAUACCUAAUAGGUGUAUCUCUCUAUUUCAUGGGAUUUCCCAGGGUACACCUACAAACAACCCAGAUUGAAUUACUUCAUAAUAAUAGUUUCAGUUACUAAUAUAUCAUUCAUUAAAUUAAAUGUUAAAUCCAACAUAUUGAAGAAUAACUUUGUUUAAACUAUUUACCAUUUAUAGCUUGCAAGUUAUCUUAUAUACUGGUUGAGGAUUUUGAAUCCAUAAGAUUUAAGGAUAAUCGAAGUCAAUUACUCAAACCGACCACCUCGAGCUUCAACCAAGGCCUCGGAUCUGGUCCUGAACCUGACACAGGCAUUGAUGAUGAACUCUUUACCGAUGUUGGCCACUGCCUGGAGAAAGGAAGCUUACAGGAAGUCAACAGUGUUUGUUGUUAUUUGACUCCAACAUCAGAGUCCAAGGGGUUCAGAUAUGGGGAGCAAGGAUCCCACAUUUUUUUUCCUAACACAUACAGGUCUUAAAUUUUUUGUUUUUCUAGAAUACAACUGGUUCCAAUUACCCGAUUUGGACAAACCGCACCAAAUUAAAACUCUUACAAGACACUAGAUCUGUUGACAGCCAUUUAAGUUCUCUAUCACCAUAUUCUGUAGUUAUUUGCACCCUUUGUCGUGCACCCAACACGGAGGUACAUAAUAAUGGCAGGGCAGCGUUCGUAUUCGGAGGAUAUCUCAAAGAUUUUAGAUAUUGUGAAGUACUCCAUGAUCCUGUUUAUCGAAGUGGCCAAGAUGAAGGAGAAGAUCUCUCCAGGAAAACAGGAAGUGGAGGAUAUAAUUUAUAUAAGGAUCUGGUGUUCCAGUCCAGAUUGUAGAAGAAGAUCAAGGAGAACGUCACCAAAGCGAUUACUCACCAAUAACUUUUCCAUGGCUUCUAGGACCAUCAAGAGGACCGUAAAGGGCGACUUUGGAUUGUCCUCAUUCUUUCAUUAUUGAAGUAUUUCUAAAGCAAACUCUCGAGUCCAUUUUUGCUGUUCAACCCUGUACAAUAUCCAAUGUUGGAAUAUACAUUCUAAAAA
rnacentral:lncRNA from 1 species